GAUGCAAUGCAAGAAUUAAAAGUAAGUCAACAAAGCAUAACAUAAAGAUAAAUAAUUUAUAGUGGUUCAAUGCAACUCUACACCUAUGUUCACUCCUCAAGCUCUACUUGAGAAUUUUGCUAUAAUUAUCCUGAUUAUAGUGUGAUUUUUUUAUCUGAGCUCCUAAUUAAAUCUAGUAUUGAGUUUUGACAUCUCAAAUUCGAUUCACAGUAGCCUA
rnacentral:lncRNA from 1 species